rnacentral:rRNA from 1 species
UGUCUUAGUUACGGCGAGUGAAGCGGCAAAAGCUCAAAUUUGAAAUCUGGUACCUUCGGUGCCCGAGUUGUAAUUUGGAGAGGGCAACUUUGGGGCCGUUCCUUGUCUAUGUUCCUUGGAACAGGACGUCAUAGAGGGUGAGAAUCCCGUGUGGCGAGGAGUGCGGUUCUUUGUAAAGUGCCUUCGAAGAGUCGAGUUGUUUGGGAAUGCAGCUCUAAGUGGGUGGUAAAUUCCAUCUAAAGCUAAAUAUUGGCGAGAGACCGAUAGCGAACAAGUACAGUGAUGGAAAGAUGAAAAGAACUUUGAAAAGAGAGUGAAAAAGUACGUGAAAUUGUUGAAAGGGAAGGGCAUUUGAUCAGACAUGGUGUUUUGUGCCCUCUGCUCCUUGUGGGUAGGGGAAUCUCGCAUUUCACUGGGCCAGCAUCAGUUUUGGUGGCAGGAUAAAUCCAUAGGAAUGUAGCUUGCCUCGGUAAGUAUUAUAGCCUGUGGGAAUACUGCCAGCUGGGACUGAGGACUGCGACGUAAGUCAAGGAUGCUGGCAUAAUGGUUAUAUGCCGCCCGUCUUGAACCACCCGAAACCA